rfam:Myotis lucifugus cont2.1435, whole genome shotgun sequence.
ACCACCUGGGGAUUUUGUGAAAAUGCAGAUUCUGAUUGAGCAGCUGUGGGUGGAGCCUAAGAGUCUGCGUUAUUAACAAGAUCCCAGGUGAUGUUAA